rnacentral:sRNA from 1 species
CUGAAAUAACCGCGGUGACGAAGUCGCGCACGAG